rnacentral:rRNA from 1 species
UAAGGAAUAUUGGUCAAUGGACGCAAGUCUGAACCAGCCAUGCCGCGUGAAGGAUGAAGGUCCUCUGGAUUGUAAACUUCUUUUAUCUGGGACGAAAACGGGAUUUUUAUCUCAAUUGACGGUACCAGAGGAAUAAGCACCGGCUAACUCCGUGCCAGCAGCCGCGGUAAUACGGAGGGUGCGAGCGUUAUCCGGAUUUACUGGGCGUAAAGGGCGCGUAGGCGGCGCGGUAAGUCACUUGUGAAAUCUCUGAGCUUAACUCAGAACGGCCAAGUGAUACUGCUGUGCUAGAGUGCGGAAGAGGCAACCGGAAUUCUUGGUGUAGCGGUGAAAUGCGUAGAUAUCAAGAGGAACACCUGAGGCGAAGGCGGGUUGCUGGGCCGACACUGACGCUGAUGCGCGAAAGCCAGGGGAGCAAACG